rnacentral:rRNA from 1 species
CCCCAGACUCCUACGGGAGGCAGCAGUGAGGAAUAUUGGUCAAUGGGCGGAAGCCUGAACCAGCCAAGUCGCGUGAGGGAAUAAGGCCCUACGGGUCGUAAACCUCUUUUGCCGGGGAGCAAGGGCGGGGACGUGUCCCGGCCCGGAGAGUACCCGGAGAAAAAGCAUCGGCUAACUCCGUGCCAGCAGCCGCGGUAAUACGGAGGAUGCGAGCGUUAUCCGGAUUUACUGGGUGUAAAGGGAGCGUAGGCGGUUUAGCAAGUCAGAAGUGAAAGCCCGGGGCUCAACUCCGGGACUGCUUUUGAAACUGUUGAACUAGAUUGCAGGAGAGGUAAGUGGAAUUCCUAGUGUAGCGGUGAAAUGCGUAGAUAUUAGGAGGAACACCAGUGGCGAAGGCGGCUUACUGGACUGUAAAUGACGCUGAGGCUCGAAAGCGUGGGGAGCAAACAGGAUUAGAUACCCGUGUAUU